AAGACUAUAGUUUCAGUGAUCAUUUCUAUGGUUAGUUACUAUAGAAGUUUCUGUGAUUGUGCAGAGCCCCUGAAAUAAGGAGCCAGAGCAUCCUAUCUUGUGCAUGAGGCCUGUUCUAGGUGUUGUUUUUUCAACUGCCUAUUACUGUUGAUGAUUGUUCUUCUCUUCUCUUGGAAAAAUAAGUAUCUUGAGGAAGAACAUACAGA